rnacentral:rRNA from 1 species
GGAUCCAGACUUUGAUUCUGGCUCACGAUGAACGCUAGCUACAGGCUUAACACAUGCAAGUCGAGGGGAAACGACAUCGAAAGCUUGCUUUUGAUGGGCGUCGACCGGCGCACGGGUGAGUAACGCGUAUCCAACCUGCCCACCACUUGGGGAUAACCUUGCGAAAGUAAGACUAAUACCCAAUGACGUCUCUAGAAGACAUCUGAAGGAGAUUAGAGAUUUAUCGGUGAUGGAUGGGGAUGCGUCUGAUUAGCUUGUUGGCGGGGUAACGGCCCACCAAGGCGACGAUCAGUAGGGGUUCUGAGAGGAAGGUCCCCCACAUUGGAACUGAGACACGGUCCAAACUCCUACGGGAGGCAGCAGUGAGGAAUAUUGGUCAAUGGGCGAGAGCCUGAACCAGCCAAGUAGCGUGCAGGAUGACGGCCCUAUGGGUUGUAAACUGCUUUUAUAAGGGAAUAAAGUGAGUCUCGUGAGACUUUUUGCAUGUACCUUAUGAAUAAGGACCGGCUAAUUCCGUGCCAGCAGCCGCGGUAAUACGGAAGGUCCGGGCGUUAUCCGGAUUUAUUGGGUUUAAAGGGAGCGUAGGCCGGAGAUUAAGCGUGUUGUGAAAUGUAGAUGCUCAACAUCUGCACUGCAGCGCGAACUGGUUUCCUUGAGUACGCACAAAGUGGGCGGAAUUCGUGGUGUAGCGGUGAAAUGCUUAGAUAUCACGAAGAACUCCGAUUGCGAAGGCAGCUCACUGGAGCGCAACUGACGCUGAAGCUCGAAAGUGCGGGUAUCGAACAGGAUUAGAUACCCUGGUAGUCCGCACGGUAAACGAUGGAUGCCCGCUGUUGGUCUGAAUAGGUCAGCGGCCAAGCGAAAGCAUUAAGCAUCCCACCUGGGGAGUACGCCGGCAACGGUGCAAC